CAUGUCAACAAUGGCGGCUAACAUCAAUGCGGAGGAGAGAAAAGUCAUGGGAAGUUGAAGAAACACAGGCACUUGUGACUCUAUGAGCAGAUUCCACUGUACAACAAGAGCUGUAAUCUUCUGUCCAAAAUGAUAAAGUCAACCAAAAGAUUUCUUUGGAAUUGAGUAAUGUGGGACUAAACCGCAGCGCAAAACAGUGUUGUGAAAAAAAAAAAAAAUUAAAACAGGAUUACAAAAAAGUAAAAGAUCAUAACAAUAAAAAUGGGUCAGACCGCAAAAAAAGUAAAUAUUAUGAUAUAAUGGACUCAGUUCUUGGUCACAGACCUGCAAUGAUAUGUUGAACUCGCGACUUGUCUUCUGGAAUCGAUGUGCUGUCCAACACAGAAUGAAAAGGAUUAUGCAUCAGUCCUGGAUGACUCCUGCACUAAGAUUGAAGGCUCUUCUGCAGCUUCUUCAACUGUGCCUGCACCAACCCUCCCUCCCACUCGAAUAGUGUGAUUAGCAGGUCUAGGCAGGAAAGCGGAAGCAGUCAGAGAUGUCCAGUUCUGUCCAGGAGUUGGAAUGGUGCCUUCAGGAGUCAGAUGACAGCUGCUUAAUCGAAAUGCUGACCGGAAAUUCAGGGAAAGGCAUCUCAAUUUGGAUAGAGAGCAGAGGGAGUGUGAGGCUACAGCCACCGCUUCAGAACCUGCAUUGGAUUAAGUUCAGAGUUUGUGAAACCAAAGUCCUCACAAGCUGAAGUGUCUUCUGGUGUUCAUUUUAACUGAACCUCUCCAUGUACUAAAUCAGUGGUUCCCAAUCCUGAUCCUGGAGGACCACUGCAUCUGCUAGAUUUUGUUUCAGCUGAGCUCACAAUUACAGAAUUGAACACUUCAUUAAAGUAAUGUACUGAUUUACACAUUUUCAAAUGUUUCAACUCUUAACAGGUGGAGGUAGCUUAGAUAAGUAUUCGAUUUAGUAGCUGACAACUCAGUUGGAGCAAAAACCAGCAGACACAGUGGUCCUCCAGGACCAUGGUUGGGAACCACUGUAUGAAAUGGAUCAAAUUUAUUUCUUCAUUUGGACAACCAAAUAAUUACAUAAAGUGACUGAGAGCUUAGUUGAAGUGAAAAACCAGAUGACGAUGCAACUCGACAGUGCAGUUCAAUAUUUAAUUAUUUUAUUUCGGUGUAUAAAAAAACUAUUAGCCCCAUGUUUUUCAUAUGGAGUUAAGAAUUGUUUUUCAGAGUUCUUUUGCACACAUUUAAGUCUAAUAUGUCUUAUUUUGUACACAUUUAAAGCCCAAUGCAUAUUUUUGUAUAUAGUUGAAGUUUUAUGUAUUAAAAACAAGGCAAGCCAGUUUAUUGAAUAUAUUGUAGCGUGAAAGAGGCACUGAUUUAACUCGUAAUUUCAAUUUUAAAAAAUUGAUAGACAUAGAUCAUGAUUUUUUUUACUACCUAUUUUAUAUCACUUCUGGAUGAAAUACACAAAGUAUUUUAAAAUCCUUUUAAUAAUACAAAACAAGAUAUUAAACUCUUAAACCAAAUUAAUAGUUAUACUUAAAAUUCUGCACUAUCCUGCAGAUUUUCUGUUAUGAGAAUAGCAUAACUUAACAAAAACCUUUACUAACACACAAACAACAUUCUUAA